rnacentral:rRNA from 1 species
CGGAGGGUGCGAGCGUUAAUCGGAAUAACUGGGCGUAAAGGGCACGCAGGCGGUGACUUAAGUGAGGUGUGAAAAGCCCCCGGGCUUAAACCUGGGAAUUGCAUUUCAUACUGGGUCGCUAGAGUACUUUAGGGAGGGUAGAAUUCCACGUGUAGCGGUGAAAUAGCGUAGAGAUGUGGAGGAAUACCGAAGGCGAAGGCAGCCCCUUGGAAUGUACUGACGCUCAUGUGCGAAAGCGUGGGGAGCAAACAGGAUU